rnacentral:rRNA from 1 species
CCUACGGGAUGCAGCAGUGAGGAAUAUUGGUCAAUGGGCGCAAGCCUGAACCAGCCAAGUAGCGUGAAGGAUGACUGCCCUCCGGGUUGUAAACUUCUUUUAUAAAGGAAUAAAGUGAGGCACGUGUGCCUUUUUGUAUGUACUUUAUGAAUAAGGAUCGGCUAACUCCGUGCCAGCAGCCGCGGUAAUACGGAGGAUCCGAGCGUUAUCCGGAUUUAUUGGGUUUAAAGGGAGCGUAGGUGGGUUGUUAAGUCAGUUGUGAAAGUUUGCGGCUCAACCGUAAAAUUGCAAUUGAGACUGGGAGUCUUGAGUACAGUUGAGGUAGGCGGAAUUCGUGGUGUAGCGGUGAAAUGCUUAGAUAUCACGAAGAACUCCGAUUGCGAAGGCAGCUUACUAAACUGCAACUGACAUUGAUGCUCGAAAGUGUGGGUAUCAAACAGGAGUAGAUACCCUAGUAGUC